rnacentral:lncRNA from 1 species
UUGGAAGCGCGAGGCGGUGCCCGUGUGAGGGCUGUGGUGAGCGAGGACAGCGUCGAGGUUCGGCGCUUCCGUCGGCUCACAGAUCGAGCCGUGCUGCCCGCCCCGCUGGAAUGAGCUGAGACUGAGCGCUGCGGCCCUUGGCCGGAGGGCAUUCACAACCAGGACAGGCCCAGGAGGUCACAGGCGCGGUUUCCGAGGCGUUGAGUCCCGUGCCAGUAGCAGCAGGGCCGUCGAGGAAAGCCCCUCAGCCUCCACUUGAGCCACUUGCGUGAGGCAGCAGUGGGGUGCUGAACAUUCCUUAUGGAACCGGGCGGUACUGCACGCGUACAGCACGAGCUGGGAGAGCUACACAAAGCCUGAGGUCACCGUCCUUUGGCAGCGGUAACGACAGGUGGCAGUGCUGUGCCUGAGGUGCAGAACGCCGUCUGAGGAACAGCUCUGAUUCCCGCCCCGCCGGGGACGCAGCAGCGGGAACGCAGCGUUUGUACGCACGAACUCCGUGAAGCUGAGGGGCAAGUUUCAUAUUUUAAUCACGAGCUGAUUUCUGCAACAGCACAUCUGCUGGAAUGUGAACAUACACAUCUCUGUGUGUGUGCCAAAAAACUCAGCUACACAGAACUGGCCCUGUGCCACUAACAUUGCUGCAGUCAGACAGCAACCAACUUGAAUUCCUGCUCCUCACAGCCGGAAUGUUGUCCAAAAGGCAAAGAUGCACCAAUGUCUGUUUGAGCCCGGGGUACAGCAGGAACUGGGGAUAAUGAGACAUGUGAGCAGAAGAAGGGUGGGAGGAAUAAAAAAGUGAUUUAAUGGUGCAUGACGUGAAUGGAGAAAAAUACAGUCUAAGAAUAAAUUGCUAAAGAAGAAUAGAAAGCAGAGACACUCAUCUCCCUCCAGCAACGAUGAAAUCUAAGGAUAACAGGAAAUAAAGCAAUUAAGGUCAAGACUGGUAUCAAGCUUCUGUUCAGAUCAGCAUGCUCAUCAGAAUCCAAGCUGCUAAACGAGGGAGAGGGCAAUGAGCAAACAACUGCAUGGUGUUCAGCUGCCUGCCGAGUUAAAGCACAGCGAUAAUAGCGGGGGGAAAAGAAGUACCUGACGAGAGAAAGACCCAACUAUGGAUGGCAGAAGGGGAAGUGAAGAUGGCAGAAGUGUGGGAAACCUCACAGCCAGUCAAAGCCAACAACACUGGUGCCUACAUCUUUCCCCCACCCUGUGUUUCAACCACAUUCAUCACAACCUAGUGCGCAG